UUUCGCAAUGCCCGAAAGGGUGACGAAGCGACGCCGCGUGGGUGAGGAAGGCCUUCGGGUUGUAAAACCCUGUCAGGAGUUAAGAAAUGUAAGUGCGCUAAUAUCGCAUUUAUUUGACAAAGGCUCCAAAGGAAGCCACGGCUAACUCUGUGCCAGCAGCCGCGGUAAUACAGAGGUGGCAAGCGUUGUUCGGAAUUAUUGGGCGUAAAGAGCACGUAGGUGGGUUUGUAAGUCAGAUGUGAAAGCCUUCUGUUCAACGGAAGAAUUGCAUCUGAAACUACAAGUCUUGAGUGUAGGAGGGGAGAAUGGAACUUCUGGUGGAGCGGUGAAGUGCGUAGAUAUCAGAAGGAACGCCGGCGGCGAAAGCGACUCUCUGGCCCGAAACUGACGCUGAGUGUGCGAAAGCUAGGGGAGCAAACGGGAUUAGAUACCCCGGUAGUCCUAGCCGUAAACGAUGGGCACUAAGUAGAGGGGUUUUA
rnacentral:rRNA from 1 species